GCAUUUGCAGUGCGUACAACGUGCACUCGUGGGCACCGAGAUGAAAACGUUUUCGUGUCUUUUGAACCACGUAUACAACACGCGAAAAACGCAAUCACGGUUCGUUAUCUUUUGUAUUGUGUUUCCGCGUGAUUGGAAUGCUAUGUCAACGCCCCGCUAAAGUCCCGCGAUGAAGCAAAACGCGUUGAGCUGUACCAAGCGAGAAGCAAUGAACCACAUGGUUCAAAGCAGACUCGCUUUUGUAUUAAUAAAUGAAGUUAAGGCUGAAGGUAAACAUUCGUUAAGCUGCGGAUGUAAUUACACGACAAACUGUUCGUGAAUGCAUGAUGUGCAUUUUCACAUUGCAGUCAAAGGCCGACCUCCCCUGAACAACUUCACUAACUAUUCCACUACAUCUGUAUAACUUGCUGUAAAUUUCAAUGACAGAUUGAUGAGACAAAACAUAUAAGAUAGCGCAUUUCCUUCUUGCAGCGUUAGCACACGUGUUUGAGCUAUUUGUAGCAACGUACACACGAUUUUUCUGUUGAUAUGUUGAUACCGAAACUGAAACUGAGGUGGUGGUGGCGCUAGUGUCGCCAUUAUCGCCCUGCCGCUUUUUUUUUUUUUUUCUCUCUUCCCAGACAUGGCGGCGUCCAGCAUUUCGUGUGUGUGUCGUAGUGCCGAGUUUUGUUCAUGCGGUGGAUUUUUACUGCGUUGCCUCGCGUUGUGUGUUGUGUGUUGCGGUUACUGACGUAAGCGCAAGUUCUUCACUGAGUAUGAUCCGCGGCACCGUGCAAAUAGUGACCAGAUGCCGGCCGUGCGACUCCGUUCUCUGCGACUCCUUUGUUCGGUGUGAUCGAGGGACGUGAUUCAUAGCUUUGGAGACCCUCUUUACACCGUGCCCUCUUCAAACGUUUCCACACAUCAGUGAGUAGCAGCAUCGCAAUCUUUACUCGACGGCACGCUCUGUGGGCCUAAAAUGCCUUGACGUUCGAGCACUUCGGGAGCUAUACCGGCGGACAGCCGGAUGCGGGUAGCUUGGCCGUUCCUUGCUCUGCGCAUCGCUUGAAAACCGGCGGUCAUCCUGCAGUGUACGCUGCCAGCGUGCUUUCUUGCCAGAGCCGCCUCCCCUGCUGGUGAUGACCAUAUGCAGCCAAUGCUGAUGUGAACCCGAGUGACGAACAAAUGCAGAUCUGCAAAGGAGCUGUCCUGAGGCACCAUGCUUACUCAAGUCAUGCAGCGAGAGUCAGCAUGCCUGGAAAAGUACAUCAAAGCACACCCCAUCUGGCUGACUGCACUACCUCAAGAAAACUGCCUUUCUCCAAUCUGCAAGUUCCUAAGAAGUUACUUUAUGAAGCAAGCCAGCAGGGCGUACGUGUUAGGCAUGUCACCAUGGAGAACAAAUAAACAUGAGUAUU